UACGUAGGGGGCAAGCGUUGUCCGGAUUUAUUGGGCGUAAAGAGCGUGUAGGCGGCUUUGCAAGUCCGUUGUGAAAACUCGAGGCUCAACCUCGAGACGCCGGUGGAAACUGCAAAGCUAGAGUCCGGAAGAGGAGAGUGGAAUUCCUGGUGUAGCGGUGAAAUGCGCAGAUAUCGGGAAGAACACCCGUGGCGAAGGCGGCUCUCUGGGACGGUACUGACACUGAGGCGCGACAGCGUGGGGAGCAAACAGG
rnacentral:rRNA from 1 species